AUCCCCUGGGCAUCUUGUUAAAAUGCAGAUUCUGAUUCAAGCAGGUCUGGGCGGGGCUGAGACUCUGCAUUUCUAACAGGCUCCUGGGUGAUGCUGA
rnacentral:pre_miRNA from 1 species